rnacentral:rRNA from 1 species
UUAAGCAUAUAACUAAGCGGAGGAAAAGAAACUAACAAGGAUUCCCCUAGUAGCGGCGAGCGAAGCGGGAAGAGCCCGGGAUGAAAAUCUCUUCGGAGAGUUGUAGUCUGAGCUCCCUUGGGCGGUCAGUGUGGGUAAAUCGUCUGGGAUGACGUGCCAGGGAGGGUGAGAGCCCCGUCCAGCCCACACAGGACCCGCCCGCACGAGGGCGCUUCAACCGAGUCGGGUAGCUUGGGAAUGCUGCUCCAAAUGGUGGUAAAUCUCAUCAAAGGCUAAAUAACGGUGGGAGACCGAUAGCGAACAAGUACCGUGAGGGAAAGAUGGAAAGAACUUUGAAAAGAGAGUGAAAAGCGCUUGAAACCGUCACGGGGGAAGCGGAUUGCGUGAGUGAUGGCGUGCACUGUUCAGCUCAAAGUGUGGAGUGUAUUCUGUGCACGCCGGGCGUGUGUGGCUGGGGCGCGUGCGAUGUUGGCACGCGCACCUGGUGAGGGCUCCCCGCUUGUCGGGUGAGGACACACGCGAAAUGACGCAAUACGACCCGUCUUGAAACACGGACCAAGGAGUCUAGCACGGCUGCGAGUCGAAGGGUGUGAAAACCCAGAGGGCGCAGUGAAAGCGAAAGAAAGCAAAUUGGGGAGGCGUUGCGGUUUUACCAAAGUGUCCUACCUCGAGCACCUGUGCUGGGACCCGAAAGAUGGUGAACUAUGCCGGAGUAGGGCAAAGCCAGAGGAAACUCUGGUGGAGGCUCGUAGCGAUGCUGACGUGCAAAUCGCUCGUCGAACUUGGGUAUAGGGGCGAAAGACUAAUCGAACCAUCUAGUAGCUGGUUCCCUCCGAAGUUUCUCUCAGGAUAGCGGGCCGACGAUCAAGUUGUUUUGUGCGGUAAAGCGAAUGAUUAGUGCAUUUGGGGUCCGAAGGACGUCAGGCGAUUCUCAAACUUUAAAUGCGCAAGGGGGCGGCUGCUUAAUUGAGCCUGCUCUUUGAAAAACGUCGGCCCUGUGGGCCACUUUUGGUAAGCAGAACUGGCGAUAAGGGAUGAACCUUAAGCGCGGUUAAGGCGCCGUAUUGCCCGCUUAUAGACCCCACAAAAGGUGUUGAUUC